ACAACGGCCCUUUUUAGGGCCACCAACCAAAUUGAGAAAAGAGUUCG
rfam:Daphnia magna strain Xinb3 contig17086, whole genome shotgun sequence.